rnacentral:misc_RNA from 1 species
CAGAGUUGCAAAACUCCCAACCCUUUGUGAAUCCUACCUGUUUAGUUGCUUCGGCAGGCGGCCCCAGGGCGGGGUCUUUAGCCUGUUAUAGGCGUCUGCCGAAGGAUUUUAAAAAACUCUUUAAUGCUCUCAGUGGCUCUCUGAGUUAAAAGACAAAAUAAGUCA